AACACUAGAUGGUGCACCAACACUGACGUUACUUUCAAACGUGCCCCAGCGUGGUCAAGAUCACUUGAUUUCUUUGAAACUGGAAUCUGGGAACAUGCACACCAUUGGAGUUUAUACCUGGCUGGCUGCUUCUGUUCGAAAUUACGAACGUCAUAUGGAUUUUGUGGACUCUCUGCCACAGAGGCUUCCCCAAGCAACAGAAGUUGCAACAGAGUCUGAGAGGGAAAUGGCAGAAAUUGCACAGUCUAACAGGGCAUAGCAGGAAAGUGGCGAUGGAACUGCUGUUGGUCAGCUUGUGCAGAUCAAUAGGUACUUCCUCAGUUUGUAACAGUGAAAUAUUGUUAGAUCAAUGAAUAUAAUUGCUCUCCCUGGUAAAAGUAUUUAGAACCUUUCCGAUGACCGAAAAGGCGUGGAGAGGAGGAACAGCAUCCCCCAUCGAUGGUGCCCCACCAGCAGUCGCUUCAACUCAAAUCAGUUCUAUGAUAGUUCUCGGUGGGCAAACACAAUAAUACAUUUUAUUCUUUGCUGUUUCUGAACUUGUUUAGUUUGGUAAUGGUCGAUUGUCGGAUGGUAAUAGAGUAAUUGUAUAGCAGCUCGUCAUUUUUCAAUGUUUUGCCUUUGUCUAUUUGUUGUGUGUUUCUUGUUUAUUGAACAUGUCCAUUCUGUUUUAAUGUAUGUCAUUGUAUUCCUGUCCUUUGUUUAAAAUGUAAGUAUCUGUGGCCAUUUCUGUGUAAUUGUUAGAUGUGAGCCUGGUAUACCCCAACCUGAGUCGAAUGGAAUAGACAGGUUUGCUUCUUCCAAGGUAUUGUGUUUUCAUUGACCUGUUAGUUGUGGAGUUUGUGUAUCAAUUUAGAUAAUUUUGUAAAUAUUGUCAUUUGAACAUCUAUAUCACCAUUGUCAUCUUUAAAUAAAAUAAUUACUUCUACACCUGA